AAGGACUAAUGACAACAUCAAUGGGAAAUGACAUUUUCUGAAGAGUUAUCUCCCUUUGCAAGGGAUAAAUUAUACGUACAUAGCAAUGUGUAUAGCUCUUAAGCUCUCUUUGUUUCAGUUAACAGGGGGUAGAUAGAGUUUAAUGUCAAUCUCUCUCUAGGUCUAUAGUUAACAGGGGGUAGAUAGAGUAUAAUGUCAAUCUCUCUCUAGGUCUAUAGUUAACAGGGGGUAGAUAGAGUAUAAUGUCAAGCAUAUCUCUCUCUCUAGGUCUUUGUUACAGUUAACAGGGGGUAGAUAGAGUAUAAUGUCAAGCAUAUCUCUCUCUAGGUCUAUACACAAAACCGAAUUGAUAUUUGGAAAAUAAAAUCUUUUUUCAAAACAGGGGGUAGGAGAAAAAUGUUACUCUACAAAAUGGUAUUAAACCAGCUACAAUUAAAGGAGAGGGCAACAUGAAAAGUAUAAUAGUUUUCUUAAAGCUUUAAGAAGACUUUAUAUAGAUAGAAUGACAACAAUUACUGUAACAAUUUGUGUUUUUUUUCUUCGCUUUUUUAGUAGUCAAAAAUUGGAAAUCAGUUCAAUGUAGAUAUGUCAAGUCAUAAUAAAGAAGUUAGAGAAUCUCACAUGGUACUUGCCACACAAAAUCGCAUUUAAUUCAAAUGUAAUCUCAAAACAUUUAACAUCUUUAAUCUUAUAAAGAAACUGCUGAAAACUGUCAUUUUUUUUAAACUCCAAAAAGCUUGAUAAAAAAUGUUCUUAUGGUAUGCCCAUGGAUUAAAUACAUCUUUGCUCUGUUUAAAGGGAAAUAAUCCAUUUCAUACUAUGUGAUUAUUGGAUUAUAAUUAUAAUUAUAUGGAAUUAAAGUAUGCCUUUUUAUUUUUUGUUUAAGUUCACAAAUUAUCAAAGUUGGUGCUUUCUUGUUUAAAUUUUAAAUGAAUUAUAAUAAUUUGAAAGCAAGUUAAAGUAUAAUAAAAACUGUUUAUUUUAAUUGAUUUAAACACAGAUGUUUUAAUUACAUUGAGGUGCUGUUGAUUGUUAAGCAAGGCAUAAAAGUUUUUAAAUUCCAUUGUACUUCCUUAAUAUGAAUGAGUUGUACAUCAGUGUUUUUAAGUUUUAAAACUGUAAUUAUGUUAAUACAUUUAAAAGAAAAGGACUAUUUCACAGAUUAUUUCUUGUAAUGUAUUUCUGAUGAUAGAUCUAUAUUUGUAAAUAAUGUUUUACCUAUUGAUAUGAAUGAAUGUUACAUGAAUGAAGAAAUAUUUAUUUCACAGUCAUCUUGUGCAAUUUUAUAAGUUUUUAAUGUUUUACACAUCUUCGUUAUAAAUCAUUGUCAUUUCUAUAUGAUUGGUGCAACUGUUUACAUGUAUCAUUUCAAAAAAUGUCAUCAAUGUAUAGCUGUUUCAGAAAACUAUAGACCAGUUGAAAAAUGUCACAUUUUAUCAAGUUGAGUUUCAUAGGUAGCGAAACAUGGUUGAAAUCUCUUGUUGGAAA
rnacentral:lncRNA from 1 species